GAUGCGGAAGAAGCAGCCGUUAGCUCAGCUCUCUGGAUGUAUGAAACUAGCUGGGAGACGAUGUUGUAGUCGUUGCGUGGAUGAAUAUUUGACUUAUAGUUAAGCAACAAUGUCUUCAGUUGAGUGUUUGAGAGAGUUUGUCAAUGAGUGACUAACUGCUGCUGCUGAAGAAAUAUUCGGAGUU